CAAUAGCGUAUAUUUAAGUUGUUGCAGUUAAAAAGCUCGUAGUUGGAUUUCGGGUUGGCUUCAGCGGUCUCGCUUUGCGUUUGUACUGCCGCAGCCUUCCUUCUUGCUGGGGACGGUCCUCCGGGCUUCAUUGCUUGGGGUCUGGAAUCAGCGACGUUACUUUGAGUAAAUUAGAGUGUUCAAAGCAAGCCUACGAUCUGAAUAUAAUAGCAUGGGAUAACACGACAGGACUCUGGCCUAUCGUGUUGGUCUGUAGGACCAGAGUAAUGAUUAAGAGGGACAGUCGGGGGCAUUCGUAUUCCGUUGUCAGAGGUGAAAUUCUUGGAUUUACGGAAGACGAACAUCUGCGAAAGCAUUUGCCAAGGAUGUUUUCAUUGA
rnacentral:rRNA from 1 species